GAGAGAGAAAGAAGAGAGAGAGUGUGAGAAAAUGCUCCGAGUCUCAGAGACUGUAAUAGAGAGAGAGAGGGAGUGUUUGUGACUCUGCAAGAGUAUCUUCGAUGAUUGGAAGAACCAAACACCGAAAGAGGAAAACGGCAUUCGCGAAUCUGCGAGAAACUCUCAUUUCCUGAGCAUUCUUCUCUCCCUCUUGCGUUUUAGUCUCUACUGUCGUCGUUUCAGUUUCCGAUACUCGGAAGCGUUUUUGCGCGCGAGUGAUGAGUCGUUUAGGGUUCAAACAUGAGGUCUACGAUGGCGACAAGCACGUCGGCGAACUUGACGUUUUUCCGACGACACCGUUUCACAACUUCCGCUUCCCCAACAACGAGAUUCGCAUCCACCACUUCAGCGCCAAGAGCGAGCGCUGCCCUCCGCUGUCGAUCCUUCAAACCAUUGCCGCAUUCAACGUCCGUUGCAAGCUCGAUUCCUCAGUCGCCGCAGAGCAAAAGGAACUAAUCUCCAUCCACGCCAGUUGCUUCUACGAGAUGAAGACGGCGGUAGUGGUGGUGAACGAUGAGGAGAUUCACCUCGUUUCGAUGCCGAGCAAAAGGAAGAAGUUCCCCUGCUUCUGGUGCUUCGCGGUUCCUGUAGGACUCUACGACGCGUGUUUGGGGAUGCUGAACCUGAGGUGUCUGGCGAUUGUGUUCGAUUUGGACGAGACUCUCAUCGUUGCCAACACGAUGAAGUCGUUUGAGGAUAGAAUUGAGGCCUUGAGGGGCUGGCUUUCGCGCGAGAUCGACCCGUUGCGGGUGCAGGGGAUGUCCGCGGAACUUAAGCGCUACCUGGAGGACCGGUUGCUGCUGAAGCAGUUUGCGGAGAGCGAUUGUGUGGUGGAUAACGGGAAGGUGUAUAAGGUUCAGAUGGAGGAGGUGUCGCCGCAUUCCGGUAGCCACGAGAAACUGAUUCGUCCGGUUGUUAGGCUGCAAGAUAGGAAUAUUGUACUCACACGCAUCAAUCCUGAGAUUCGCGAUACUAGUGUAUUAGUGAGAUUACGACCAGCAUGGGAGGAUUUAAGAUGCUAUUUAACUGCAAAAGGACGCAAGCGUUUUGAAGUAUAUGUUUGUACUAUGGCUGAAAGGGAUUAUGCUUUGGAAAUGUGGAGGCUUCUUGAUCCUGAGGCUCAUCUUAUAGGUCCAAAGCAAAUCCUUGAACGUGUCAUUUGUGUCAAAUCAGGCUCUCGGAAAUCUCUGCCAAAUGUUUUCCAAGAUGGCAUGUGCCAUCCGAAAAUGGCAAUGGUGAUUGAUGACCGGUCAAAGGUUUGGGAAGACAAGGACCAGCCUAGGGUUCAUGUUGUUCCUGCCUUUACUCCUUAUUACGCUCCUCAAGCAGAGACGGCCAAUGCAGUCCCAGUCCUUUGUGUAGCGAGAAAUGUUGCAUGCAAUGUCAGAGGUUGUUUCUUCAAAGAGUUUGAUGAGAGUUUAUUACAAAGAAUUGCUGAAAUCUUCUUUGAAGAUGAUAUUGGAUCUUUACCUCAUCCUCCAGAUGUGAGCAACUACUUGAUGUCGGAGGAUGUGCCAAAUGGUAAUACUAAUGCCCCACUCAGUGAAGGAAUCAAUGGUGCAGAAGUUGAACGGAGGUUAAGCCAACCAGGUGAUAAAUUUCCUGUUGACUUAGUUGCCCAACCCAUGGCCAACAGUGUUGAGUUCAGACAUGAACCCUCUCAGCCAACUGCUGGUAUUAUUUCAGGUGUCACUGGCCCUGGAUCUUCAAGAAUGCUGAUUCCGUCAUUGAAACCUGGUUUGCUUGGACCUCCGGUCAAGCAUGAAGGCAGCUCUGUUGAUCGUGAUUAUGACAUGCGAAAAGGUGUUCUAGGCAUGAGACAUGGUCCAGAUAUAAGAGGUCAAAUUUCAGCUGAACCUCCUCUGAUAUCAAGGCCACCAAAUCAAGCAUCAGCAUCUUCAAUAACGCAGCCAUUUGGAGGUGGGUUGGUAGAAGAUGAUAUAACCAGCAGAACUCAGACAAAUAAUUGGUCUAUAGCAUCUGGUAAAGAAUCUAAUGUAGUAAAGUCCGAAAAGCAUCAGGCUCAACUGAAACCAUUUUCUCAUAGUGUCGUAGGUUCACCUCCCAAUGUCGUACAUCAACAAGCACCGCAACUUAAGACUGAAGAGGCAACUUCUGUUUCUGAUUUGCAGAGGCAGAAUGCUCCAUCUAAGUCUCUGCUAUCUGAGGAUGGGAUAUCUCAGAAUCAUGCAUCUUCUAAUAGUAAAGAUCUUCAAAAUGAAGCUGGAAAAUUGAACUUAUUACCACCUCUAUCCAUUCAAGUGCUGCAGGAAAUUGGGAGGCGAUGUAACUCGAAGGUUGAAUUUAAGUCCAUUCUAAGCACCAGCAAAGACUUGCAGUUUUCCGUUGAGGUACUAUUUACCGGUGAGAAAAUAGGUGUUGGCAUGGGUAGGACGAGAAAGGAUGCUCAACAACAAGCUGCUGAGAAUGCCCUUCGAAGCUUAGCAGAGAAGUAUGUGGCGCAUGUGGAGCCUCAGUGCAGAGUCGUUGAUAAAGAAUUUGACAAGCUUUCUCUUGGACGUGACAAUGGUUUCUUGUGGGAUGUGGUUAAUCCUGAAUCCAAUGAACUGCAAACAGAAGAUGGAGGAGUGCCCAGAGAAAAUGCUUCUGAGCAUCAAUGUGAAGGCUAAAUCACUGAAUGGGGAGUGAACUGGCUUCACGUCUGGUACUGCUGUCUUAGACAGGCUUCUUAAGUUUCGGCUUAAAAGGCUUGGGAUGCUGAGACUAGAUCAAGUACACCUAAUGCCAUUAAUCAACAAAUGGAAAAGCGUAUGAGCUCCCCGAGAAUGGCUCAUUCAGUUUCCAAUAAACGAUUGAAGGAAUGAAAAUGUUGGGAAGAUAAACAAGAUUUACCGUCAGUGAAGCAACUAGAAAUGGGCCUUUUGAAUUCUCAGGACGGCACAUUAUCAUUUUGUACGAGAAAAAGUUUUGAUGUAAUUUGCUCCUGUAAUAUCUAUGGCGUAGCGGUUGUAGAUAUGCUAAGGUAAAUUUUCCUUGGCUAAAUUCUGUUAUAGAGAAGGGCAUUUUUUUUUGGUUUUGCCCUACUAUUUUCCUCAUUUACAGAAUGUUUGUGUAGCCUCCUUUCCAAUAUUAGUUGGAAUAUUAAUUACAAGAAAAUCAUUUCUCCUUUGUUACCAAUCGGCUUUUCUUAA